AUGGCUGCGAGGAGAACCAUUCUUCUCGCCAUGGCUGCCAUGGCCAUCCUAAGCACGGCGUCUGCGGCAAUCUACAACGUGGGUGAGCCGGGCGGCGCAUGGGACCUCAGCACCAACUACGGCACUUGGGCGUCCUCUAGGAACUUCCAAACCGGCGACCAGAUCGUCUUCAAGUACUCCCCUCAGGCACACGACGUCCUCGAGGUCAGCAAGGCCGACUAUGACUCAUGCAGCACCGCCAGCCCUGUCACCACCUUCAACUCCGGGAAUGAUGUUGUUACUCUCACCACCACCGGCACCCGCUACUACAUAUGCGGUUUCCCUGGUCAUUGCGCGGGCGGCAUGAAGGUUAAGAUCGAUGUCAUGCCAGGCUCCUCCUCAUCACCCGCCCCAGCCAGCGGCCCAAGUGCAAGCAACGCUCCCCCGCCGACCCCUGUGUCCGCUGCCACCAAUGUGGAGGCCACAGGGUUUGGCCUCGCCGUUUUGCUUGCCGUUGCCGGCCUCAUGGCUUGA
rnacentral:rRNA from 1 species